UUGCAUUUGAAGCCCAUGAGGAUGAGAACCUCCGGGGGCGGGGAGGUUCGACUCGAGCGAAGCGAGAGAACGUUGCGCCAGCAACGGCCCG
rnacentral:sRNA from 2 species